UACACUCAUUCCCUAUACGAAGCUCCAUGUUUUCGCUCUCACCUGAUGCUGUUCUGGUUCUCGUCUCUGAGCUUGCAUAUGCCGAAUAGCUACCCGAGGCUCCACGAAGUGGCGAGUAGGCACGGCUAUUCCACAUGCUGGAGG